CCUACGGGAGGCAGCAGUGAGGAAUAUUGGUCAAUGGACGCAAGUCUGAACCAGCUAUGCCGCGUGCAGGAAGACGGCUCUCUGAGUUGUAACCUGCUUUUGUACGAGGGUAAAUCCCGAUACGUGUAUCGGGUUGAAAGUAUCGUACGAAUAAGGAUAGGCUAACUCCGUGACAGCAGCGGCGGUAAUACGGAGGAUUCAAUCGUUAUCCGGAUUUAUUGGGUUUAAAGGGUGCGUAGGCCGUUCGAUAAGUUAGAGGUGAAAUCCCGGGGCUCAACUCCGGCACUGCCUCUGAUACUGUCGGACUAGAGUUUAGUUGCGGUAGGCGGAAUGUAAGGUGUAGCAGUGAAAUGCAUAGAGAUCAUACAGAACACCGAUUGCGAAGGCAGCUUACCAAAAUACGACUGACGUUGAGGCACGAAAGCGUGGGGAGCAAACAGGAUUAGAUACCCGAGUAGUC
rnacentral:rRNA from 1 species